AGCUACGGCCGUGUGGCGCGUUGGGUACACCCGAUUCCUCGAUCUUGGAAGUUAAGCAACGUGCAGUCUGGUCAGUUCUUGGAUGGGAGGUCACCCAAGGACGACCGAAUGCUGUAGUCC
rnacentral:rRNA from 1 species